rnacentral:rRNA from 1 species
GACGAACGCUGGCGGCGUGCUUAACACAUGCAAGUCGAACGGAAAGGCCCUGCUUUUGUGGGGUGCUCGAGUGGCGAACGGGUGAGUAACACGUGAGUAACCUGCCCUUGACUUUGGGAUAACUUCAGGAAACUGGGGCUAAUACCGGAUAGGAGCUCCUGCUGCAUGGUGGGGGUUGGAAAGUUUCGGCGGUUGGGGAUGGACUCGCGGCUUAUCAGCUUGUUGGUGGGGUAGUGGCUUACCAAGGCUUUGACGGGUGGCCGGCCUGAGAGGGUGACCGGCCACAUUGGGACUGAGAUACGGCCCAGACUCCUACGGGAGGCAGCAGUGGGGAAUAUUGCACAAUGGGCGGAAGCCUGAUGCAGCAACGCCGCGUGCGGGAUGACGGCCUUCGGGUUGUAAACCGCUUUCGCCUGCGACGAAGCGUGAGUGACGGUAAUGGGUAAAGAAGCACCGGCUAACUACGUG